AUUGUUGCAACACGGUUGCACUGAGAUACAAGGUUUUGCUUUGCUGUGUAUGAUAUCGAUCAUUCCAGCGAUCGGUCUACCAUUACCUGUUGCUUCCAUCUCAUUGUUAUUCUUGCUUGUUGAGUGAUUAAAGUUAUAGUUAAGAACUAUUACUUUCACUUUCCGUCAGCACAGUAUAUGAGUAUAUUACGCAGUCAUAUACGGCAUUGGCCCCUUUUAGUCAUUAAAUUAGUUUUUCGUAAAGUCGUUUAGCAACCGGUGCAUAUUUUGCGUUAUUCUUUAGCAACCAGGUUCGAUAGUAGUUAUUUUCGAUAGCAGUCUAGGAAUUAAUUUGAUUCAGUUAAUGCAGCCCCCUUAUCAUAUAAACGCUCGCAUUGUUACAUUCAACGGUGGCAACGGCAACAACAGAAGCCACUCUUACUUACGGCAGCGACCACCGCGACGGACCUACCAUUGUGGCCGGAUGGGCCACAUUCAGAGGUACGCUGCUACGAAGCCGGCAACGAGAUACUGCGACGCAAAUCUCACCCACCAACCAUUCCACCUGAGCCACCCAAAGAGGCAGCGCGCCAGUGCAGGCUCCGGUGGUGGAGGCUGCAAUUCAGGCUGGUGCAUGAGCCCCUGCCGGUGGCAGAACUAGCAGACGCACGAUGGGUCGACGAAGAAUUAAAAACCCAAGGCAAAACAUACUCAGCUUGGCAACAGCGAAACCAUCUGGCCGUUUGACUACGGGUAGGUGUAGUCACGUUCAAUUAACAAUGUUCCUUUUUCUUUAACUGUUUUACUCGGGUUUUCGAGCGCCGCACCUUUCUACGGAGAUUCGAUUGAAAGACACCAAACUGAAAAGAUGGACUGCUGACGCUGUUAAGCAGCAACAAAUAUCAAAUCAGGUUCCAUUGCCGUAACUCAAGUCUGCUUUUUUUCCCGGCCACCAAAAUCUAUUUUUAACGCACACUGAUUUUAUACUCGUAUUAAUUAUGGUUUGGAAAGGUAUCGCUUCGACGACAUAAUAAUACAUCGCAAGACUUGAUGGCUUCUUUUUCAUUUUGUGGUGAAAGCGCAUACUACAAAAAUCGAACCUAACUGCGAAUGUUUACUAUGUCUUCUGACCUCCUGGUCCUAUACCGGCAGUUGUAUAUAUGUCUGUUCCAUCUUUCAUUUCCACGACAAAUACGAUACCUCACAAGUUGCAGUAUUCGUGAAGAAGAAAACGAGAAAAGGUGUGCCUGAAAAUUCCCACGAUGGCCCAUUUCUUAAGAACAUGGAUGGUGGAGUACAAAUGGCGAAUUUGACCGACCGAGUUAACGGCUUCACACCGCCACGGCUUAGAAGCCAACAUACACAAAAACGGAUUCAUUGUGCAGUCCAGUGAGAACAGAUAAUUGACAAUAGCCAGCGUCCUCACAUCCAAAAAGCUUGCGGUCAUCAUGAAGGAAUAAAUGACAUGCCCCGGAGUCCAGAAGAGAAGCGAAUUGAUAAAAAGGAUGAAUUAUCUGCCACAACAGUGAUAUCCACGGCCCGUGUUACGGAAUGCGAGUUAUACUGUUCGGCCUUUUGGAUGGGUUGCAUAACCAUAUCAUCCCGUGUUUUUCGUAAAAUCUUCACUUUCCAAAAGACGAUGGGAUAGAUGAUUGUGACAAGCAUUUGAGGGAUCAGAUGAGUCAGAUAGCCAUACAGGCCACGAUAUAGUGUAUCGUAGCCUAAGUUAUAAAUGCAAAGAUGUGCAAGUCCGGGAGUACGGGAGCGGCAGUCGUGAUCGAGGAAAACCGGGAGGGAUAGCGCGUUAAGGACAACGACCACCGCGAUAAUUAAACCAGCGGCUAGUUUACGCGUGUGCCGCGUUCGGUAGGAAAACGGAAAGGUCACGGCCCACAGACGGUUAAGGCUGAUUAGCACGUGUAUGGUAACAAUGCAAGCGCUUGUUAUUUGUGCGCAGUAUAAAUUGAGCAGGCACAUAAAUUCGCCGAAAACCCAGCGGAAUCUUAGAUAGUUGCUGAUAUUGUUAACGCUGCUGGUGCUCGACUUAAUGAGA